rnacentral:lncRNA from 1 species
AUGCAAACCCCUCUCCUUUCGUGGACUCCAGGAAAUUGGAUUCAGGCCGUCGCGGGGUGCGGGACAGCGACUCGGGGGCCUCUGGGGAAUGCUGGGAAAUGUAGUCCAGGAGCCCCGCGUAGUCGGAGGUAUUUCCGCUGCGGAAGGUUAAGAUCGCGGCCUUCGGGCUCUUUCUGGGAGGGACCACUGUUUCCUGGACCUCAUCAUAUUCUUUUUAGAGUGCCUAGCAGCAACCGAGGGGUUGGCCAAGAAGAGUUAUUCAGUCAAAGCAGCAGAGAGACAAGAUCUAGAAUACCGAUUUCAAUGUGA